UUUACUUUUGCAAAGAAAUUAAGUCAUUCUACCCCAGGCUGUCAGUGGGGUUCAAAACCUCAUUGUGAACAUUGAAACAAUGGCAGUGAGACCCAAACCAGGAGGAAGACUCCAGCAACUUGUAACAGACAUGCAGCAGCAAGGAAUGGCACACACAGAAUGAAGUACCAUUCUACAAGUUUCAGGAUGUCCCACUUUCGUAUUGUGAAGCCACAGUGCUGGCAGAAAAUGAGAGCAUCUACAUCAAAUCUCCACAACUGCAUCAGGGAGUAAAAGAUACUGUGAAUUCCACCAUUAAGCACCUUCAAAACAGAUUU